rnacentral:rRNA from 1 species
CCUACGGGAGGCAGCAGUAGGGAAUUUUCGUCAAUGGGCGCAAGCCUGAACGAGCGAUGCCGCGUGAGUGAAGAAGGCCUUCGGGUCGUAAAGCUCUGUUUCGGGGGAAAAAAGGCAGCAUCAGGAAAGGGGUGCUGACUGAUGGUGCCCCGCCAGAAAGUCACGGCUAACUACGUGCCAGCAGCCGCGGUAAUACGGAGGUGGCGGGCGUUAUCCGGAAUGAUUGGGCGUAAAGGGUGCGCAGGCGGUCCUGCAAGUCUGGAGUGAAACGCAUGGGCUAAACUCAGGCAUGGCUGUGGAAACUGGGGGACUGGAGAGCGGGGAAGGUAGGUGGAAGUCGAUGUGUAGCGGUAAAAUGCGUAGAUAUAUGGAAGAA